UACGUAGGGUGCAAGCGUUAAUCGGAAUUACUGGGCGUAAAGCGUGCGCAGGCGGUUCUAUAAGACAGAUGUGAAAUCCCCGGGCUCAACCUGGGAACUGCAUUUGUGACUGUAGAGCUGGAGUGCGGCAGAGGGGGAUGGAAUUCCGCGUGUAGCAGUGAAAUGCGUAGAUAUGCGGAGGAACACCGAUGGCGAAGGCAAUCCCCUGGGCCUGCACUGACGCUCGAUGCACGAAAGCCGUGGGGAGCAAACAGG
rnacentral:rRNA from 1 species